UACGAAGGGAGCUAGCGUUGUUCGGAAUCACUGGGCGUAAAGCGCACGUAGGCGGAUUUGUCAGUCAGGGGUGAAAUCCCGGGGCUCAACCUCGGAACUGCCUUUGAUACAGCAAGUCUUGAGUUCGAGAGAGGUGGGUGGAAUUCCUAGUGUAGAGGUGAAAUUCGUAGAUAUUAGGAAGAACACCGGUGGCGAAGGCGGCCUACUGGGCCGGACCUGACGCUGAGGCGCGAAAGCCAGGGGAGCAAACGGG
rnacentral:rRNA from 1 species